rnacentral:tRNA from 1 species
GCAUCCAUAGCUCAAUUGGAUAGAGCGGCUGUCUUCGGAACAGCAGGUUGGAGGUUCGAGUCCCCCUGGAUGCA